rnacentral:lncRNA from 1 species
CUUGGAUUAGUGCAGAAAUGAAAACUACCCCUGCUUCUCCAUGAAAAGAUUGCAUCGACAACAAUUAUGUCUGACUAAUGCAAUUUACCCCUUUGUCAGUUGUCAUACUGUGGUGUCUGUGUGUUGUUGUGAUGCUGAAAGCUCUGCCAACUGGUAUUUCAAUUACCAGCAGGGUCACCCAAGGCAGACAGGUUUCAGCAGAGCUUCUAGACUCAGUAGACUAGGGAGAAGGACCUAGCCACCACCUUGUGAAAGACUGCCAUGAAAACCCUAUGAACAGCAGCAGAGCAUUGUCUGAUACAGCACUGGAAGGUGAGGGGAGGGCGCGAAAAGACUGGGUCACCCAAGUGGGUUCCACUCUGCUGUCCACAGUGUCGCUAGGAGUCAGAAUCAACUCGAGGGUGCUAACCUCAACAAAUACAAUUUAUUUCUGUGAUGUCUUCUCUCUGUCUGGGCUUCAGGAAGAAAUUAUUCUGUUCCAGAUGGAGGUUAGAGUAGCAAGCUUGACUGGAAUGAUCUAGAACACUCUACCACUGAGGGAAAGAACAUGACAUUAGAAGAGGACUGAUUACUUCUCCUGUUUGGGGACUGAGGGCGUGGGGAGUGGGUGAUCUGCCUACAGCUAGUAUUGUUUAAUAUCUUUGCCCGUAAAUACUUGAGUGGUCACCUAUUAUUUUUUCAUUUUACAAAAACUUUGCUGAACUUGAUUGCUUGAAGGACCAAAAACUUUUAUAUCUUUAAUCCAUAUUAUAUAGGCAAAAGUAUGACAUGAACAAAUGUAAAGCAAUAUAUGAAGGGAGAGAAAAUAAACUCUCUAAAUACAGGAAAAAUAUAUCAAAAGAGUUGAAUACGUUCCUGGGGCCAUGAAGAGUCUCAUGCUGGGAAGCUACACAGGAAGGGAUGGAAAGAGGUCGCCUAAAAAAUUCAGAAGGAAAAGACAAGUGGUUAGAAACUUUUUGAAGAAACCAAAAAGAAAACCAUGUGGUUUCAUCCUUCAAGAUUGUGAGCAGAACUCAUUGCCUGGUCAAUGGGAAAGGCAGCUUCUUGACUCUCUAAGAGCGAAGGGGAGGCGGAACAGAGUCCUGCAGAGGGCAUCCCUGGAAGAAAGGAACAGACCAUGGCAGUCGUGGAAUUGAUGCCUGUGAAGCAAAAAUAGCUGCAGAAGGUUUGGUACCAGGUAAAGCCGCAAAUCUGCAGAGCAAUACAAAAACUCAUGACGGUUUCUGAUGAGUCAAGGAGAAAGUAUUUUAUUCAAGCCCGGGAGCAGCAAACAGGAUUAGAUUGAGUAUGUAGAUGUCUACUUUGCAGUUAACAAGAUCCUUCGGAUCCUCAGUCAUCAAUUUGAAUAUUUAGAACUUGCAUUAGGAUAUAAAAUCUAAAUGUUCUUUCCUGGGUUUUGCAUAUUGAAGGUAAUUAAUAUGUUGGGAAAUUACACUUCUCUUAUCUGGACCCUAGAAAUAGCCUCCGACUCUAUUUUCUCCUUCCUUCAAACCACUGCCAUUUAUUUUUCCACAACACAAAUUUGAUCUUGCCACUGGUGUAUGUGACAGCUAACAAUUGCACCUCAUUUCUGGGAUCUAGGAAGGCUUCAAAAC